CCUCCUCCCCCUCCACCUCCGCCUCACCCUCAGCCGGGCCCCGCCAUCAUCCACGUCAAUCAUCUGCAACCCCCUCCGAUCCAGCAGCAUCAGCUGAUCCUGAGCUCCGCCCCUCCCCCGCCUCCACCUCCGCCCCCUCAGACGCAGAGUUCUCAGUCGACGCAGGUCAGCGGCACCACCGUCAACCUGCUGUCCAUCAAACAAGCCCCGCCUCCUCCGCCGUCAUUUCAGAACAUCGGUGCUUUUCAGACUGCUAUCCUGCACCAAUCAGGAGCGAGCAACCCUACAGCGGUAACGUCCUCUACGUAUCAGCAGACUGUGUUACCGCCCCCUCCUCCGCCCCCACCGCAACCCACCCCGCCUUCUCAAGGGUCCUCUUCCAAUCCUAACGCGACACAAACCCGAGGUCCGCCUCCUUCCGCCGCAGCAUUUCAUAACACCGGAUACAUGGGGACGGGGUGGCACUGACUCCACCCACUUCACCCGCCCGCUAAAACGAACUCAUAAUGAGAAAACGGCGGCGGAUGAUUGGACAAAAUGUAACAUAGGCGACUCGGUCGUAGUGUAAAUAGUUUUUUACGCACCUUUACACCCAGGAAACAGGGCGAGGCUACAAGGGUACACUUACACGGACCGUAACCCGAUCUGGAGAGACUUUACGGAAAACAAGAUGGCGGCUCAGUGGUGCUCAUUACACAACCUAAACCCCUCUCCCUUUUUCUUCUUCUUCUUCUUCUUCUUCCCUGAUACACACUUCCAGUCGUCCUCUCUCACUAGACGUCUUUUUAGUUUUCCCCCGUUCUCUUUUUCGCACAUGUACGAUGGACAUUCCACGUCAACUUCCCUUUUUUUCUCUCUUUUUUUUUUUCUUCCCCUUUUCCUUUUCUGAAAUCCUCACGUCAUUUAUUCGUUUUAUCUAGCGCUUCAUUUAUAGCGAAAGAAAAAAUGCUUUUUGUAUAGAGGAAAAAAAUACAGAAUUAUUUUUUUUAAUCCAUGUAACUGAUAAAAAAAUAAUAAUAAUAUCUGCAGAAAUCAAGAAGAGACCUUUCUGUUAGGCCGCUUCGCCGCUCCGGGAGUCUGCACUUCUUUAGUGUGUGUGUGUGUGAGAAAGACGUUGUAUUUGUUGGUCCAUACGUGUUAACGUGUUCAUCACGACUGUUCGUGCGAGUUCGAGAGAGAAAUAACUUCCUGUUCACCGUGAGCGGUUUUAUUUUUUUGAAUUUCCACGGUUAUUUGUAGAAAGUGUAAUUUAAUUGUAUAGGUGGUUCCUCCUGCGUUCUUUCUCCAGAGACGGACGGGUGUAAAUAUCAGCUCCUUUUUUUUUUUUUUUUCCUUUUUUUUUUCUACGCUUGUACACUUCGCUACCAUCCUUUUUUUUUUUUUUUUUUUUUUUUUUUUUUUUUUUAAAUAUGGAUGUAAAUACAAGCGCAUUCUUCACAUAAAAAAGAAAACAAAAGGAAAAAAAAAAUAAAAUGCUGAAUGUUUGUGACCGUAGCACUAUUUUUAUUUACGUCUCCCAGAAUUAUUCGAUUUCCCCUCUCUCUCUCUCUCUCGUUCAUUUUUUAUUCUUCGUGUGAGUGUGUGUGUGAGUGUGAGUGUGUGUGUGUGUGUGUGUGUGUGUGUGUGUGAUGUGUGUGUGAAGAGCAGACGCUCACAGACACAACACUGGUUGAAUAUUUUCAUGGUUCAUAAUAAAAAAUCGCUGUAAUGACAGUUUUAUACCA
ensembl:lncRNA